rnacentral:rRNA from 1 species
CCUACGGGGGGCAGCAGUGGGGGAUAUUGCACAAUGGGGGAAACCCUGAUGCAGCGACGCCGCGUGUGGGACGACGGUCCUCUGGAUUGUAAACCACUGUCCCCAGGGACGAAGAUGACGGUCCCUGGGGAGGAAGCUCCGGCUAAAUACGUGCCAGCAGCCGCGGUACUACGUAGGAAGCGAGCGUUUUCCGGAAUUACUGGGUGUAAAGGGAGCGUAGGCGGUACUGCAAGUUGGCUGUCAAAUCUCCCGGCUCAACCGGUAGCCGCAGUUGAAACUGCAGUUCUUGAGUGAAGUAGAGGCAGGCGGAAUGCCUAGUGUAGCGGUGAAAUGCGUAGAUAUUAGGAGGAACACCAGGGGCGAAGGCGGCCUGCUGGGGUUCUACUGACGCUGAGGCUCGAAAGUGUGGGGAGCAAACAGGAUUAGAUACCCGUGUAGUC